GGAGAGAUGCCCGAGUGGUCGAAGGGGCACGACUGGAAAUCGUGUGCACACUUCAUCGUGUGCCGAGGGUUCGAAUCCCUCUCUCUCCGCCA
rnacentral:tRNA from 1 species